rnacentral:rRNA from 1 species
GGCAAAGGAUCCCUAGUAACGGCGAGUGAAGCGGGAAGAGCUCAAAUUUGAAAUCUGGUAGCCUUCGGUUGCCCGAGUUGUAAUCUAGAGAAGUGUUUUCCGUGCCGGCCCAUGUACAAGUCCCUUGGAACAGGGCGUCAUAGAGGGUGAGAAUCCCGUCCUUGACAUGGACCCCCGGUGCUUUGUGAUACACUUUCAACGAGUCGAGUUGUUUGGGAAUGCAGCUCAAAAUGGGUGGUGAAUUCCAUCUAAAGCUAAAUAUUGGCGAGAGACCGAUAGCGAACAAGUACCGUGAGGGAAAGAUGAAAAGCACUUUGGAAAGAGAGUUAAACAGUACGUGAAAUUGUUGAAAGGGAAACGAUUGAAGUCAGUCAUGCUCUUGGGACUUACCUCCCUUGAGUGGGGUCAACAUCAGUUUUGAUCGAUGGAUAAAGGCACUAGGAAGGUAGCACUCUCGGGUGAACUUAUAGCCUAGCGUCAUAUACAUUGAUUGGGACUGAGGAACGCAGCAUGCCUUUUGGCCGGGAUUCGUCCACGUACAUGCUUAGGAUGUUGACAUAAUGGCUUUAAACGACCCGUCUUGAAACAACGAACCAAGCC